rnacentral:misc_RNA from 1 species
CGCACAUUGCGCCCUCUGGUAUUCCGGGGGGCAUGCCUGUUCGAGCGUCAUUUUCACCACUCAAGCCUAGCUUGGUAUUGGGGGAUCGCCCCGCCUAGAGAUUAGGCGGGGGCGCCCCCGAAAUGCAGCGGCGGUGCGACCGAGUUCCCUAGCGCAGUGACUUUUAUUUUCUCGCUACAUGGAAAUCGUGUCUGCCCCGGCCGGACAACCACCUAAUUUUUCAAGUGUUGACCUCGGAUCAGGUAGGGAUACCCGCUGAACUUAA